rnacentral:lncRNA from 1 species
GGACAUCAUCAAGGCAGCAUUUGAUGUCUUAAACUCUCGUUUCAAGUUUCUUCUCUCACUAAGAUCCUUCGAACCUAAGAAAAUAGGCUGGGACCAAAUCAUCAAUGGAGGAAGAGCUUCUCGAGUGUGCCUCCUCCCCCAAGCUUCGAUGGUAGGAGGAAUGAGCUGUAAUAGCAGAGCGAUGGGAAUAUUGCCAAGGAGUGGAUCUCGGACUCUAGGAAUGAGAUCCCCAAUUG